rnacentral:rRNA from 1 species
UUAUAAAUAUAAAAUAUAAUAUUAAUAUUAGAAUGUUAUAUUUUUAAAAUAUACAAUUCGGGAUAAAAUUAUGAUAAUGACGUGUUUUAUUUUUGUGUCUUGACUAAAUCUUGUGCCAGCAGUCGCGGUAAGACAAGAAAGACUAGUGUUAUUCAUCUUUAUUAGGUUUAAAGGGUACUUAGACGGUUCAUCUGACUUGUAAAAAGAAUAGAUGUUACUAGAGUUUAAUUAUGAGGGAGAUGAAUUACUGAAUGAGUGAUAAAAUAUUUUGAUAUCAGUAGGACUGGUAACGGCGAAAGCAUCUUUUUAUGUAAAAGUAACUAUUAUAAAUAAUGGCUUUUUAUUUAAGUAAAAUAGUUUUUUAUAUAACUUAUUUUAGUUAUAUAAAGUAUGAUGUUUUUAAUCAUAACAUAAACUGACGUUAAAGGACGAAGGCUCUGGUAACGAAAAGGAUUAGAUACCCUUGUAGUCUGGGCAGAGAAUGAUGAGUGUCAUAAAUUAGAUAAAUCAUAUAUAUUUAGUUUAUAAAUGAAAGUGUAAGCACUCCACCUCAAGAGUAACAUGGCAACAUAGGAACUGAAAUCAUUAGACCGUUUCUGAAACCAGUAGUGAAGUAUGUUAUUUAAUUCGAUGAUCCGCGAAAAAUCUUACCACAAUUUGAAUAAUAAUAAUUUAUUAUUACAGGCGUUGCACGGCUGUCUUUAGUUAAUAUCGUGAGAGAUGGUUAGAUCCAGUAAUUAACGUAAACCCUUGUUCCAUUUAAUUAAAUGGAACAGCACCUCUACUACAACGGAGAUGAUAAGAGGGAU